rnacentral:rRNA from 1 species
UACGUAGGCAGCGAGCGUUGUUCGGAGUUACUGGGCGUAAAGGGUGUGUAGGCGGUUGUUUAAGUUUGGUGUGAAAUCUCCCGGCUCAACUGGGAGGGUGCGCCGAAUACUGAAUGACUUGGAGUGCGGGAGAGGAGAGUGGAAUUCCUGGUGUAGCGGUGAAAUGCGUAGAUAUCAGGAGGAACACCGGUGGUGUAGACGGCUCUCUGGACCGUAACUGACGCUGAGACACGAAAGCGUCGUUAGCAAACAGG